GAUCAUGGCUCAGAUUGAACGCUGGCGGCAGGCUUAACGCAUGCAAGUCGAACGGUAACAUAAAGAAGCUUGCUUCUUUGAUGACGAGUGGCGGACGGGUGAGUAAUGCUUGGGAAUCUAGCUUGUGGAGGGGGAUAACUACGGGAAACUGUAGCUAAUACCGCGUAAUAUCGAAAGAUUAAAGUGUGGGACCUUCGGGCCACAUGCCAUAGGAUGAGCCCAAGUGGGAUUAGGUAGUUGGUGAGG
rnacentral:rRNA from 1 species